CUAAUUUCUUGGUUACUAAGCAUACAAGUGCCUUGACACUGCAAGUUUUGGGGAAUGCCAAGGCUGCAGUGGCUGCAGUGGUGUCAGUUUUGAUAUUCAGGAAUCCAGUGAACAUCAUGGGCAUAACAGGAUUUGCUGUGACUGUAAUGGGUGUGGUGCUUUACAGUGAGGCAAAGAAGAGAUCUAAAGUAACAGCACACUGAUGAUAGUUUGAAAGAUUCAAUCUUGAUGAUGCCACACAAAG
rnacentral:misc_RNA from 1 species